rnacentral:rRNA from 1 species
CCUACGGGUGGCAGCAGUGAGGAAUAUUGGUCAAUGGGCGCGAGUCUGAACCAGCCAAGUAGCGUGAAGGAUGACUGCCCUAUGGGUUGUAAACUUCUUUUAUAAAGGAAUAAAAUGUUCCACGUGUGCCUUUUUGUAUGUACCUUAUGAAUAAGGAUCGGCUAACUCCGUGCCAGCAGCCGCGGUAAUACGGAGGAUCCGAGCGUUAUCCGGAUUUAUUGGGUUUAAAGGGAGCGUAGGUGGGUUGUUAAGUCAGUUGUGAAAGUUUGCGGCUCAACCGUAAAAUUGCAGUUGAUACUGGCAGUCUUGAGUACAGUAGAGGUAGGCGGAAUUCGUGGUGUAGCGGUGAAAUGCUUAGAUAUCACGAAGAACUCCGAUUGCGAAGGCAGCUUACUAAACUGCAACUGACAUUGAGGCUCGAAAGUGUGGGUAUCAAACAGGAUUAGAUACCCUUGUAGUC